UUCGUACUAAGGUAGCAUAAUCAUUUGUCUUUUAAUUUAGACUAGAAUAAAAGAUUUAACAUUUUAAUAAAUAUAAAUAAUUUAUAUAUAAAAAUUAUUUUUAAAGUAAAAAAACUUUAAUUAYUUAAAUAGRCGACAAGACCCUAUUGAACUUUACUUUAGUUUAACUGGGGAAGUUAAUUAAUUAAAAUUUUAAUUAAUAUUUAUCUUAAAAAGAUCUAAUAAAAUUAAUUUAAUGAUCAAGUUACCAUAGGGAUAACAGUGUAAUAUUAUUUUUAAGUUCUUAUUUUAAAUAAUGAUUGCAACCUCGAUGUUGACUUAAUACCCUUAAUUACGCAAUAGUUUUUAAAGGAAGUCUGUUCGACUUUUAAAUAAUUACUGA
rnacentral:rRNA from 1 species